UAGGGAAUCUUCCGCAAUGGGCGAAAGCCUGACGGAGCAACGCCGCGUGAGUGAUGAAGGUCUUCGGAUCGUAAAACUCUGUUAUUAGGGAAGAACAAAUGUGUAAGUAACUAUGCACGUCUUGACGGUACCUAAUCAGAAAGCCACGGCUAACUACGUGCCAGCAGCCGCGGUAAUACGUAGGUGGCAAGCGUUAUCCGGAAUUAUUGGGCGUAAAGCGCGCGUAGGCGGUUUUUUAAGUCUGAUGUGAAAGCCCACGGCUCAACCGUGGAGGGUCAUUUGAAACUGGAAAACUUGAGUGCAGAAGAGGAAAGUGGAAGUCCAUGUGUAGCGGUGAAAUGCGCAGAUAUAUGGAGGAACACCAGUAGCGAAGGCGACUUUCUGGUCUGUAACUGACGCUGAUGUGCGAAAGCGUGGGGAUCAAACAGG
rnacentral:rRNA from 1 species